UGCUUCAGCGGCAAUCGGGCUGCGUCAGCUCUGCCCAGAUCUUAUCUUUCACUCCAGAUGCGCGCUGGGAAGACAUACGUAGCGAAAAGCCACCAGUUUGCCGCUGUGCGCGUGUGGCCGUGGAUGUAUACUUCUCCGACCGCCGAAGUUUCCAGCUGCUCUCGCAACUUUUAUUGCGCAGUUUCUUCUGAGUGAGCAAUGUGGGUAAGCAAGACGAACGUGUUCGGCCGCUGCAAUGAGCCACAUUGGGACUGCACCUAGUGCAAAGUCCUAAGCACAUCAGGCGAAGUGAGAGGCUAAAAUGCGGGUAUUGCAACCAUUCUCCAAGCGCUCACGGCCGGCAAUCCGCGCUUGGAUUGAAGGACGAACGUGCAGUGAAGCCUACAUAAAAAUGAUCAAUCAAGGCCUCCUUCCUAGUGUUCUAGAUGGUCCUUUCCAGCCGGCUACUACUGGCUUCAGCAUGACUUGUCGCUCGAUCGUCCAUACGUCGCGCGCCGUUUGGGCGCACCUGGAAGAACUUGGCGCCAUGACGCUAAUUGACCCCUAUUAGGAGCAGACACUAAUGUUACUGAAAACAUUUGGAGCUUAAUGAAAUUCGGCCUGCCAAAGAUGCAGCUCCACCACGGAAGUUGUGUCGGAUUGGAGGCUGCGAUUGAAGAACAUCGGGACACCCUGCAAAUUGACCUGAUAUCGUUCCAGCACCGCGGCGUCUUGCUGACAUCGUCCAAUCUGCCCGAGGCUUUUCUUCAUAUUAAUAAAUCAUACCAAAGUACCGAA